AUUGCCAAUGGGCGAAAACGCAAAAACACAAUUCAAUCACUCAGGGUAGGGGAGACAGUGAUCGAGGGCACGAACAACCUAAUUACCCACGCUACUGAUUUCUACAAAGAAUUGUUUGGCCCAGCCCCUGGUAACCAAUUCCACCUUGAUCCAGGCACCUGGUCGGACGAGGAGAAACUAAACGAGAAGGACAACUUUGACCUGUGUCGUGAUUUCACGGAACAAGAGGUCAAGGAGGCUUUGUUUGAUAUGGCUCCUAACAGAGCCCCUGUACCCGAUAAUAUCCCUGUUGAAUUCUACCAGGUGUGUUGGGAUAUUGUCAAAGAUGACAUCAUGGCCCUGUUUAAACAUUUUCACCAAGGGAAGCUGGAUGUGCAAUGGCUUAAUUACGGGAUUAUUACACUUCUCCCAAAAACUUCUGGGGUUGAGAAAAUCCAACAAUAUAGGCCCAUAUGCUUGCUGAGAUGCCCAUAUAAACUGAUUACUAAAGUCCUCGACCGCAGAGUAGCUAUCUACGCAAACAAACUCAUUAGCUCUACCCAGAAUGCCUUUGUGAAGGGCAGAAACAUUAUGAAUGGUAUCCUGUCCCUCCAUGAAAUUCUUAACUACACCUAUGUUAAGAAAAAAAGUGGGGAUUGUCCUUAA
rnacentral:rRNA from 1 species